UAUUUGUUUAUAUUGUUUUUUAUUUUUAUUUCCUCUAAUUGAUUGCCGGCCUCAGCUCAUGUUCAGUUUCCUCUUCGGCGGAUUGCUCCGCCCACUUCCUGUUGAGAACCAGGAAGUGUUGACAGGGGUGGAACUGUUGCUAUGGUGUGGUUACCAUAGUAGCCCACUUAAAUUGGGUCCAGGUGUGAGCACGGGCAGGGCGAUUGGAGGACAAACAGUUUUCGUUCAGUGACGUGACUUGUCGUGACAAUGCAGUGACAAUGUGCCAUUCAAGGUCAGCAUACUUUGUUAAAUAGCCUACAUUUUGAUUUAAUUUUGAUAGCAUAAAAUAAAAGGAUUGUCAUAUCCAACAACAAACUACCGUACUGGGCAUUCUAUCAUUUACACGUGUUAAACUGGUAAACACGGUCGCCCUCAGUAUCAGCCCAGAGAAGACGUCUGAGUAGGUAUUCCGAAGAUUUGGUCCACUUUGACAGCCAUUUACGACACAAAACUGGCGAGGACGACACGAGAAAAAAAAGACACUAGGGGAGAAGGAGGAGAGAUCAGAGAAGGAGUUGGAGUGUCCACAGCAGAUGCAGUGCGUGAAGAGCAAGAGCGACAGAGAGCAGACGAUGACGGCGGCGGCGGCUGAAAAGCAGACUGGGAA